ACAGGGCAAAUUCGCGCAGAGGCUCAUACGGAUGACGACGCAUACAUCGGCACAAGCUGUCGGUGGGAGAGCACCGGAGCCGAAAAGUGAAAACCAAUUUCAGUUCGCCUCAGCACGGUCCGGCGUCAAGAUCGCAAAGAUCCCGUCGCGCUCAUUCAUCGCCGCAAGUUCAAUUGCAAGCAAGAAAACCGUGAAAUUUAGUUUCCAUCUCCCAGGAGGGACGAGUGCGAACAAGCAAAAUCGAUUGUGACUAAAUGUGCGAUUGGUGCCGGUAAUGCUAAUUUGUGAUGCCUUUUCCGAGGAUACUUUUCAUAGCGUCGAUUUCAUUUCAUUAGGACACGGCUGCGAACAAUUGGGAGGAAGAGAUCCGAGUCGGAUUAGACGCCAAGUGUCUGCUCUUCUGGUGGACAUCGGACCGAAACAAUCCGAUACAAGUUGGAGUACGGAAAGCAUCGAGCAGGAACUCGGGUUUGUUUGAGAUAAAUCCGCCUAGCAGCUGGCGUUGGGACCUCAAGAAGGCCGGAAUAGCAACUUGGCGGACACGAGGGUGACGCAGAAAGCGGUCGGAUCGAAGCUUGGGCAGCAAAAUACCAUCGAAAGGCCCCUGCAAGGGGUCUUUUUUGGCAGAUCUACGCCGUUUUUGACGAGUCGGCAACCGGCUCGACACCUUCAUCGCCAUCUUUGCUGCGUCGCUUGCGGUUCGCGUCGCCCACCGUUGUUGGCAACUCCUACCACCGUACCGUGGGUUGGUGCGACUUUGGAACGAAGCGUUCGUGCCCUGUCGGCGGAAAAGAGAGAAUCUGGGUUGGAGCUCUGCAUCAGGGAGGCCGGCGAGACCAGACCGGUGGUAAUCCGUGUAGCAUCGGCCAAGGUCGCGGUGGAGGCGGCAGCCACGGCGACGGUACCGACGGUGCGUGUAGGUGCUGGGCAACAGCUUCCAUGGCAGUGGGUCCCCCAAACCGGGAGUGAUUAGCAACAAUGCGCUGGCAGGAAGAGGUGCCAAUCCGGCGCGUGAAUCUGGCAAUGGCGCCGGGAAGCGGGCCGUGAGUACUAUCCUAGGUUAAGCCAAUCAUUGUGAGGGGGACACAACAUAGAUUAAGCUACAAGCAGCUAGAGAUAGGGAGCAGGCGGUCAUGAUGGCUAUCAAUAUAUGUAAUUAAAAAUACUUUUGGUUUUGUGAGUUUUUGUUGGUGCACAUAGCCCCUCAGUGUUUGCGCAAUUUGGUUAUUCGCUUCGGUGGUUCCGCUCUACCCUAACCGGACA